rnacentral:rRNA from 1 species
CAGUCGCCACGGUAAUACGUAGGUGGCAAGCGUUGUCCGGAAUUAUUGGGCGUAAAGGGCUCGCAGGCGGUUUCUUAAGUCUGAUGUGAAAGCCCCCGGCUCAACCGGGGAGGGUCAUUGGAAACUGGGAAACUUGAGUGCAGAAGAGGAGAGUGGAAUUCCACGUGUAGCGGUGAAAUGCGUAGAGAUGUGGAGGAACACCAGUGGCGAAAGCGACUCUCUGGUCUGUAACUGACGCUGAGGAGCGAAAGCGUGGGGAGCGAACAGGAUUAGAUACCCCUGUAGUCCCUGUCUCUUAUAC